CAAUAGCGUAUAUUAAAGUUGUUGCAGUUAAAAAGCUCGUAGUUGGAUUUCUGAUCGAGACAUCAGGUCGGGUCCGAGAGGAUCAUGUACUUUGAUUUUGUUUUGAUCAUCCUUGGGGAGAGCAUUUCUGGCAUUCAGUUGUCGGGAUUGGGAUCCUCAUCGUUUACUGUGAAAAAAUUAGAGUGUUCAAAGCAGGCCUCGGCCUCUGAAUACAUUAGCAUGGAAUAAUAAGAUAGGACUUUGGUGGUCUAUUUUGUUGGUUUGCACGCCAAAGUAAUGAUUAAUAGGGAUAGUUGGGGGUAUUCGUAUUCAAUUGUCAGAGGUGAAAUUCUUGGAUUUAUGGAAGACGAACUACUGCGAAAGCAUUUACCAAGGACGUUUUCAUUAA
rnacentral:rRNA from 1 species